GCUGUGAGCCUGUGCGGAAGUGGAAGAGAAAGCUCUGAGCUUCUGAGACUGGUGAUGGAAAAGGCUCAGGGUACACAUGCCCAUUCCAAAAGAGAGGCGUCGCGGAGCAGCAAGGGAACUCAGCAGGGCAGACAUUAUGCCCUAAAUCUCCGCGUCCGGCAUCCAGAGCACGCUGUGUAAGAGAUAUGACAAGUUGGCUCUCAUCAGAGUCCGGGCAAUGAGUGUCCAGUGCCUGCUGAAAUGGUGCCUGCAGAAUGUUGGCUGAGCAUGAGAUCCGACUUCCUAUUCUUGGAAUGUUCGCAAGCAGACUCUGAGGAGCACAUUAUAUCACUUCCUAAUGAUUUUUCUUAUCAGUUUGAUGGCUCCAGGAAGCCCACGUCCCCUGUAAAUCCAUCUGAGAUUGAUCAGAAGGAGAUUAAUGAUUUCUACUGGACCCAAUUCAUCUCAACCUUGAAGUCAAAGUUCUACUCCCCUUGUUCUUCAACCCUCAACAAAAAUUUACACUUGAUUUCCUUCCAACUUGGAAAUGAUCAGAACACGGUGUGAAUAAUUUUACUGUCCCUCUGUGCAUUUGUGUAACAGUCUUACUCCGUUGUAUAAAUCUUUUUUCUUUGUUUUUCUGUAUCACUGCACUUGACUCAGAGUCUAAAUCUUUGCAGGACAAGAAUCCAUAGACUGUACAGAAUCAGCAUCUUGCAAUAAAACUUCAUCCAUUUAUUCAUAA